rnacentral:rRNA from 1 species
GGAUUAGAUACCCUGGUAGUCCACGCCGUAAACGAUGAGCACUAACUAUUGGGGGAUUGACCCCUUCAGUGGUACAGCUAACGCGUUAAGUGCUCCGCCUGGGGAGUACGGUCGCAAGACUAAAACUCAAAGGAAUUGACGGGGGCCCGCACAAGCGGUGGAUUAUGUGGUUUAAUUCGAAGCAACGCGCAGAACCUUACCUGGGCUUGAACUCUCGAGAAUCCGGCCCAAAAGCUGGAGUGCCCUUCGGGGAAUUCGAUGAGAGGCGCUGCAUGGCUGUCGUCAGCUCGUGUUG